AUGUGUUUUGAACACCAGCUCUGUGUUAAUUCUAUGUCAAUGUAAAUCCACUAUUCCCAUGCAAUGUUUUGUUCUAAUGGUCUAAGGGAUUUUUAGCAAACAUACUCCCACUUGCAAGAAGAAAUGAAGAACAGGUUCUCACUUUGAGAAACUGAAGGGUAAGUACAGUAAUGUAUGUUGAUUAUGCUAAAAGUUACCAGUUAUCACUAAAUUAAUCCUUUUAUAUUCUAACCCAGUACUGUACUAGUACCAAAAUAGCUUCCAAAGGUUAAAAAAAAGACAUACCCUUCUAACUGUAAAUGUUAAUGUAAAAUUAUUCUACAGCAAAGGGGCAUCAUCAACUGCACUUCUCUUGAAACAGAGGGCAUGUACUUACAGCUCAAGGUGUGCUCUAAACUGGAAAGCUUAUGCUACAAUAAAAUUGGUUAGUCUUAAAGGUGCUACUGGACUCUUUUUGACUAAACUGGAUAGUUUCUGCCACCCAGUCUUGUCAAUUCAGUAAGAUUUUGCACCUGUUCCUUUGACUGAAGGUUUGUUUAAUGUAAAAGCUACUUCCUUGCCUGCUUGACUUCAGAACAGGCAUUAUCCAGUUUAAUUCUGGCUUUAACUAGUUGGGCAUGUUGAAAGAGCAGGAAUGAAGGGCAGUUCUAAUGGAGUCAGGUUUCAUUAACUCUGACAUGUAAGCAUACCUCCACAAGAAGAUUGAUGAAACAGGGAACACAAAUGGCACGGCUGUUCAGUUAAGCAAGUACAAGAAUUUUGCUUUCAUUACUUUAAAUCCCAUAUUUCAUAAGUAUGGUUAUUAUUGCUAUAUUAGAAUUUUCAAGAAUGCUUACUAUACAGAAAUAGAAAUGCGAUGUUUGACCAUCUGUUCCCUAACACUAGAUACAUGAUUGGGAAAGGGCACUCUGUACAUGCUCAAGCAAGCCUUGCAUCACUUACUACAGAGUCAAGUUCCAGGGUUAUCCUCUAGCUUCCAAUUUACAACAUAGCCCCAUCCAAAACUAGCUAUUGAAGUACUGACACUGGUUCCUCUGUUGUUCAAGAAUAGUGAUCAGCAGCUAGUAGCCUCAGGGCUCUGUCUGGUCCCCUGAGGAAUAUCAACCAUCCCCUCCCUAGCUGCCAAAAUACAGCCAAGAGAAAUAUAUGGAGGGAAUAGUGAUGGAUCUGCUGUCCAUACUGUUUGGAGGAUUGGGAAGCCUGGCUUAUUACUUCCCAUGCUAUCCUUAAUGUGGCCCUCCAAAACACUUCUUGCUGGUUAUAGUUUAAGUCAAAAACAAACACCCAGCUGUACAGUAUGGAUUUUGCUUUAUUUUGUUUUGUUUUUGCUGAUAUGGGAAUGACCAAUAGCGCAAACUCAUAUACUAAUAGCAAAGUGGCCCUGAUCUGUAGAUACUUAAACCCAGAGAUUUGAGCCAUGAAAGCAACAUACCUUAAAAAUGCCCCAGGUUUACAGAAAAAUCUGAAAUCUUUAAAAAAAAAACAUAAAAGGAGUGCCUGUAGUUUUAACCCGAUGCCCUCAGUGGCUGCUUCUAGGCAACCAUAUCAGGUUAACCAGUUUUCCAGGCUUGUUUUCUGUCGGAAAAAAGCAGGGGAGGGGGAAGGCCCUUUCCAGGCUUGUUUUAAGUCCAUUGUCUUCAAUGGGUGUGAUUCUACUUGGAAUGGCUGUGUCAUUGCCUAUCUAGAAAGUAUUUUGUUUUUCUAUUUGCAUAUAAAACUAGAUAAGACUCCCAACUGCCAACAGGAUGAAAACCAGUUAAGAAAGAUUAACCAUGAAAAUAUACUUCUGAACCUGCCAGAACUUUUUUGCUUUGUACAGAAAAACAACCAACCAAGAUGGACAGUGGCAGGCAGCACUAUCUUUAAUUGCCGGUCUUCCAUAUCACAGUGAGCUGGAGUGUAGAAGAUCCCAUUUUAAGAACAAAGAGAACUGAAGUGCAGGACACUGAAUCUGCCCCACAUAGUCUGUGGCUAAAGUAUCACCCGCUCCAUAUCAGCCUGCCUGAGGGUUGCAUCUGAGGCCCUCCUUAUGCCUCAGCCUUCAGAACUGAAGCAGCUUACCACGAAGGAGAGGGCCUUUUCUGCUGUAGUACCUCAUUUGUGGAAUGUCAACCCCAAACCCCUCAUCAUCUAAUGCCAACCUGCUACAGGUUAAGCUACAGGCCUAGAGAUGUAAAAUUUCCAAAAAUUCUAAAGCCAUAGAAAUAACAUUUUUUUCAGGGGUGGGGGUGGAUUGGGAGGAGAGCAGGGAGAAUUGAAAUAUAUUCAGUACUUUCUGAACAAUUCUAAACUUAUUUAUCUCCUUUAACAACAUAAAAUGCCUCAUUUAUAUCUUAACAUAUAAUAUUGCACUUUUGGGUAAAUUUAUGGAAUUUAAAAGUAUAAAUGUCUUCAUUUGCUGCUUAGAGGUUAUUUAUUUAAAAUAUUUACUUAAAAAUAAAAACGCUGCCAACCUCUAUACUUGUACAUCACUUCCAAAUACAACCCAGAAGUGACAAUGGGUAACUCUAGGAAUUACUGGAAACUCUAUGCUAAACCUAUACAGUUUCCGGCAAUUCCUGUAGUUACCCAUUGUCACUUUCAAGUUGUACCCAGAAGUGACAUAGUGACAUCAGUGACAUUGCUGACAUCACGUUUCCCCCAAUGCCUACCCAAUCCUCCCGCUGAUUGCCAGGUAUUAGGGUUGGCCUGGCAACCCUAAUACACUCAACACUAAAGAGAGAAAUUACCGGAUUAAGUAUAUUAUUUCAACAGAAACAGUCACAUGCAGUCACAACAGAACUAGCAGUGUAUUUGAAUAUUCUGGGAGUUUUACAGGCUUUUGGAAAAUCUUAGCUUUCAGAAGGUCCUCCUAUGUUGCUUCGAUGCUUAAGUUAGAGAUCUUACUUGAUUUUUUCUUUCUUUUUUUUGUAGAGCAUUUUAAUAUAGACGGGGGAUUUUUUUGCUCCUGGUUUAAAAUGUAGGUUGAAUGUUAAUAUUGCUGAUUUAUUAUGACACUAUACUUUUAAAUUGAUUAUACUGCUGCUCUAGGAUAUGCACUUUUACUAGAAGCUGUUUUACUACACUUUAAUUUUGUUUUUGUUUUAUGCUAUUACUUGAUCCAUAUUCCUUUUUAUUGUGAUCAUAUAGUCGUCUAUUAUUUUUUUUGGCCUUGACAAAUAUGGAACACCUAUCGACUGCCGUCCUGCUGUCUGCCUCCUGAUGCUGUUUCUUUCAGCUAGGCUCUGAUAUAUGACGACUACAAUAUGAAAGUGAGUCCACCUGGAAGAAAAAUGCCAGAGAGGGGAAGAGUUUUAGGGAGAAGAGCCAAGAAGAUUUACCUCUACUCACUUGAGGAUGGGCCAUGGCUCAGGGGUAGAGCAUGUUCAUGAGUCUGUGCAUGUUUAAUGUUCCAAGUUCAAUCCCUAGCAUCUCUAGUUAAAAGAGUGAGAUAGUAUGUAGUGUGAAAGGCCUACAGACCUUGAUAGACAAAAGGCAGUUUCAGGUGUGCUCAUUUGCAACCUUGUUUGUUUCCAAAACUUGUACCCUCAUCUGCAUUUGAAGAGACAUCUGCUACCAUCACAGCUACUUAAGGAGUGUUGCCAAAUUUCUUGUCCUCAUCAUUUAUGUUUCAAAACCCAGGUUUAGGUUUUGCUCCUCCCUUGUGCAAUCAAACUUACAAGUCUUUAUUUUAAAUUAACUCUUUAAAAUGAUUUUUGUGCUAUAUUGGCAAAUAAUUCAUGUGCAUAAAAUGUGUAAAUGUAUCAUGUAUGCAUGAUGUAUUAUGUGUAGAAUGGUGUAAAUGCCAUUAAAAGGCAGAUGAGUCAGAAACACAGAAACAAAAAGGCUCACACAAUAACACCCUAAAAAAAGAAACCAAGGGCAUAUCCGUACAUCUCUAACUUUUGUUGAGAUGAGAUGGGGUCAUGCAAUAGAAUUCCAUGAGAAGCUUUUUAUUUAUUGGCAUGAUUUAAAGUCAGGGUGCAGUUGUGAGUUUCAAAGAGAAAAGAAGACCUUGUUGAGCCUGCUCAACUCAUCAUUUUAGAGAGAGAGGAAAUGCUUCCCUUUUUCUCCUCAGUCCUUAUAACAAGAGUAUGUAGUCUGCCAGUCAACUGGUGUGGCUUCUGCAACUGAAACCAGUGCAUUUUCUGGAUUUCGGUCUGCUCUUUCUGACUGUACCCUCCCCCUGCCUUUGUGAUCUUUGUGGUUAGGGUUUUGUUUUGUGUUGUUUGGGGAGCAUAUAAAAAAAUCAAUAGACAGUAAAAUAAAAUCCUUGAGAGAGCAGAGACUGUGUUUUGUCUAAUCUAAAAACAUAAAAUUCCCCACCUGCCACUUGACGAGCAAACUGCUCCGAUUCAUCUCUGCCCUCUAUUCCAGAUUAUGUAAAACUAUUUAAAUCCUGACUGACAGUAUUUGCUAGAACAGCUGUUGGGCUCUACACCAUCAGUGGGGGGAGGUAGGGUGGGCGGAAUUGUAGGUUGCAAGGGCAAAUAUAAUGAAAUAAGACUAUUUUCUACAAUUAUUUGGCAAAAGCAGCAGAUAUAUCUUGUCCAGGUGGGAACACAAAAAAAAGAACAAUGCUGAAAUAAUACUGCUACAAAUAGGUGGGUUAUUUUGGGAGCAUCCUCUUUCCUUGUGUUGCUGUUUCUAGACAUCAGUGACCCAGUUGUUUUCAUCAUUGCCACAGAUGCAAACUCGACAGAGGGGUGAAGUUUUGCUGGUUGCCUGUGUCAUUCAUCCUGGGGAACAUUUCUAAGCAGGGGAUUAAAUGGGAACAGAACUAUUGUUUUCAGUUAAUGAAAUGUUUAACCCUUUCUGACUAAGCGGUACAGUUGUCUGGACAUACCUGUACCCAGAAUAUGACUGAAAAGUCCGUGAUUUAGUGAACAUUCGUGAGCAGAAAACACUUAGAAGAAAUUGCCUCCUACAAGACAAACUUUACGUCCUAACGAAACUUUUUUAAAAAAAACUAAAGAAAUGGAAAAGAACUCUAAAGGUUAUGAAACAUUCAGAAUUGUCCUGGAGAACACAGACAUUUGUGGUUCUACCCCGUGAUUAAUGGGAAAUCACACAAACCUGUGUCAUCCUGUUUGUGCAAGUUUUUCAGUUUUCUGUACCAGUUAUUGAUCUGCUUUCAAUGAAGCCAGUUCUGACCUACAUACAAAAUACAAAUAUCGGUUCAGAAGAUUUUGAAGAUUAAAAUCCAGUUGAAAUCAGAGACUUUUUGGUUGGAAAUGAUGGACAGCCAGUUGAAAAGAAGUUUUGGAACUUUGUUCUUAUAUAUGAUCACAGCAUCAAGAGUACUGUAUGCUCAAAAAUGGAAAACUCCAACAUUGCCUACAAUGGAAGUAUGGUGGAUAAAAGUUUUGGAGUUUGCAUCAACGGCAAAACUUACUUCACUGAUUAGAGAAAAGACAUGUUUUUGGCUGAAUGGAAACCAUUUAUAAACUUUUUAAAUAAAAUAGAUAAUAAUGAUUUGAAGAUAUCUGGAUUUAUGGAUUAAGAAUCAUGAACAAUAAAAAAGAGGGCUCUUAUGUUUAACAUAUAAUAAGUGAGACUUUGAAAACAAUAUAUAGUUUUUGCGGAGAAAAUCAGAACUCAAUUUGUAGUUUCGUUUUUGUCAUUUUCUUUUUCAUAUCUUUUUAAACUGUAUUUUCUUUUUUAUUAUUAUUAUUAGCUCCUUGUCUUUUUUGUUGUUUCAUGUUUAUAUGUAUUGUUAGUGUGGUUUUUUUUAGAUAGUUGUGUCUUGUUAUCUUUUAUGUUUACUGUUUAUAGCUUAAAUAAAAUUAGUAAACCAUAGCAUAAAAGAAAGAAAAUAUUCAAUUAUUUACAUAACUGGAGCGGGGGUGGGGGUGGGAGGAGAGAGAGAACUUCCCUGAGCUAUCAGUGUAGUGGUGUAGUGAUUAGAAUUAGACAUGGGCAUGAACCAAAAAAAUUUACGAACCAGCGGAUCGUGGUUUGGUGUAGACCACGAUCCCAAAUUCCCGAAAUGCAAUGAACAUCUCCCAUUGCCGAACCAAACCGGAUCGUGGUUCAUGGAGGCCAAAGUGGCAAGCAAGAGCUCUGUCCCACUCCACUGCUCACAAAAAGUAAAACCCAGCCUAGGAGACCAUGGCUAUUUAUAAGCAUGGGUCCCAUUCAGUAACACAGGAGGUCUGUGUUUGGCCAUCAGAGCUGCCUAUCAGGGUUUGCAGGGAUGAGAUUGGAGUGCCCAUGGCUACAAAACACCCCUUCCCCUUCCCUCCCCUGGGUGUCUUCUCCCAACUUGUAACUGCUUUGCAGCUCCGUGGUUGGAAGGAAGCCCUGCUGAUCAAGGAAAGCUGGGCUUCCAUUCGGGUUUCCAGGGCGACAGAAGGAGGGCAGACAGAGCUCAGGCAUUCCCCUGGCUCCGUUGCCAGGGGAAUAGAUUGCUGGUGCCUGAGUGUCUGGCUUCCCGAACCGUGCCCGAAUGCAACGAACCAGGCCUCUCCCAACCGCUGGUUUGUUGGCCGUGGCCGAUCACGAUCCACUGGGUCACGAUUGCGUGAUCGCCAUUUUCGUGCAUUUUUGAGGUUCGUAAUGCGAUUCGUGCCCAUCUCUAAUUAGAAUACAUGACUUUGAGAUCUAAUCAAAUCUUCCUCUUUACAAUAGAGGAAUUGAUUUGAAACUGACUCACAUUCCUUAGAAAGGGAGGGGGGAAAUGGAUUGCAGUGAGAAAUUCUGCAAAGAGGAUUUAAGAGAAUUCUACUUCUUAACAACCCUAGGAUUCUCCACCUCAGGAGAAGGGAACAGAAUUCACUUCCCCUUCUUUUGAAAGUUCAGGGAGCUGCUGCUAAGUCAUCUAGCUUCCAGAUCAUCGGAGACCGAAAGCUCAAAAAUGUGUUGAUUGGUUACUAGGAACUAAUAGCUCAGUUCUGGGAAUUCUAAUUGUUUGAGUAGCAUCAAGGAGGUACAGUUAACACAGUAAUCACAUUUAUUCCUUCUGUAAAAUUGAACUGUGUUUUUACACUAUUUUUUUUUAUUAUUAUACAAAAUAUUUUAUUUUCCAGAGCAAAAGAUUUCAACAGAAUGAAAGGUGGGACCACUCCAUAUAGACAAUAGCCAAUGGCAGUUUGAGGUUGAAUACCGGAAGUUCUGACAUUGGCGUAUGCGAAGGAUUGGUGGGAGUUGAAGCUAAGAAGGUGCGGAUUUCUUCCCCUCCACGGAGUUUCGGAACUUAGCUGCCCCCCCCUAAGAUGGCGACGAAAAAGCAGAGCCCAGCAAUGAGUAAAUCGGUGAUGGCGACAUUACAGGGGAAGGGGGAAACUUUGGAAGAGAUGGUGAGAUGAGCAGUCUUUGAUGCUGUGCAGCCCUUUGUAGCGAAACUGAAUGAAAUGGGGCAAAAGGUUGAUUCAGUGGAAAGCGAAGUGAAAACCAUUAAAGAAACAGCGACCGGAGCAGAGCAGUCUGCACACGAGAACGCAGUACUCAUGAAAGCAACAAGCAAGGAAGUGAAGCUUUUGGAGAAUCAAAUAAUAGGAUUGCAAGUGGACCGUGCCCAAACGGUACUGCAUCUUCAGAAUGUAAAAGAGGAGCAAAGUGAAAAUUUAAAA